rnacentral:lncRNA from 1 species
AUUGAAUAUUAGAGACUCGGGGGUGGCCACGGAGCCAGCCGGGAGUGGUGCUGCUCUGGAUCCCAUUCCGCUGCCAACCGCUUCGGGAACUUUAUUUUUCAGACCCAUCCACCCGCCCUGGCAAAUCUGUUGGAUUUGAAUGAAAGAGUGAAAAUUGCAAAAUAUAAGAAUAUUAAUAAAAACAAUACUAUACGAGGUGUUUUGAGGACACGUAAUUUUGCUGGUGGUACGCCUAGAGACUUCAGGUAUUUACACGCACACCUGUAAGCUGAGACACAGGAGCUGACUGGAAUACAUGAGCACACAGCUGAACAGGGGAAGGUGGAAGAACUUUUGUACUGCUGCAGACCAUAUAUCAAUGCAAUAGCCAAUCUGCCUUUCCUGCUUUCAAAAAUAAACAGAUUAUUAGUCCUCUACUCCUUAUGUGCAAUCUGGCAUGUGAGGAGUGUGGAACCUUUCCCCUUUCUCAUGUUUCCCCUCUCUGCUCAGCUGGUGGAGCAGGCACUGGGGAGAUGCCCCCUCAACUCCUCCACUCCUGUGCUUGAAGAGAAUUCUGCUCAAAGGUGCACCAGAUAUAUUUUAUUCCCUCUUACACCCCUCUAGGGUCAAGCUGAAAGCUGGCCUUUUGAUUUUGUCCUCUUUGGAAUAGGGUAAUUGUCAUCUUCUGGAAUGUAACAUGGGAUAUAAAUGACAAAAUAUCUCAGAGAAAUAAUGAUAUCUCCAGCAACAGAGUGUCCCCUGGCACUAUGUUAGAGCAUUAAUCCAGAAAUGACUCAGAUUUUCAUUCACUAAGCCACCACAACUGCUCAGUGCCUGUGUGCACUGUAGGUUUUGUUCAUCACUGUCCAUGAUUUAGUGAAUAUUACAUUAGAAAAUCCAUUUUGUUUCCUGUGCACCAUUUUGGUUACAGGACUGUACCAUUCCUUUAGUGCACCAUAGAUAUCCACUGUUAUUCUGCAAUAAUAAUCUUUUAAAUUCACUGUUACUGCUGUAUGAUGUUUUCUGUCCAAGUCCACUCACUCUGAGGAUGUCUCAUCAAGAAUUUUCUAGUCCUUAGUUUCUUUUAGAGGAUUUUAAGCUCAAAACAUUAUAUUUGAAUCUUG